AUCCCACAAAUUCUGCAUGAUAUGCAGAUAGUACACAGAAAUGAAUGGCUGCAGCACGCUCGCCUCACUCUGGGAUGGCCCUCAAGCAGAGUGUGGAUACAGUUGAACAGAGACAACCACCUGUGUCAUCAAGGUUAGAGGCCAUAAUGCGAAGAUUGAGCAUUGGAAAUCCUAGGAUUCUAGAUCAAGUAGAAGAGGAGAUGCAGUGUGGAAAAUAUUAACAAAGUAUGGAGAACAGGAAGGUAUUGAGUCUCUUUGAAGUGCCCGGACACUGUGCUGACUGGAGAUGACACAAUGUCUAACCUUCUCAAGACCUUCCAUUCCCUGACUGGAAGGCAGUGCGGCGUGGGAGCUUGCCCAUUGUUGUAUGGCGGCCAAGAAUGGAGGUUUGGAUGGAAAUAUGGAGAGUGAAUACUUCUAGGAUUUCCCAAGGCCAGUAUUUCCGUGACCUUCAUUUCCACUUCUCCCAACUUCAUCUUUUUGGGGGGAGUCUGAGCACGAGUUCCAUGUAUGUAACCUUAAGAUUAUUUCUAGCCUGCAAGUUGUUUGAGCCACCUCCUUCCUCCUACCAGCUUCUCUCCUUGUGUCCAACAUUAGUA